AGCGAACGCUGGCGGCAGGCCUAACACAUGCAAGUCGAGCGCCGUAGCAAUACGGAGCGGCAGACGGGAGAGUAACACGUGGGAACGUGCCCUUCAGUUCGGAACAACCCAGGGAAACUUGGGCUAAUACCGGAUACGCCCUUACGGGGAAAGAUUUAUCGCUGAAGGAUCGGCCCGCGUCUGAUUAGCUUGUUGGUGAGGUAACGGCUCACCACGGCUACGAUCAGUAGCUGGUCUGAGAGGAUGAUCAGCCUCACUGGGACUGAGACACGGCCCAGACUCCUACGGGAGGCAGCAGUGGGGAAUAUUGGACAAUGGGCGCAAGCCUGAUCCAGCCAUGCCGCGUGAGUGAUGAAGGCCUUAGGGUUGUAAAGCUCUUUCGGCGGGGAAGAUAAUGACGGUACCCGCAGAAGAAGCCCCGGCUAACUUCGUGCCAGCAGCCGCAGUAAGAC
rnacentral:rRNA from 1 species